UAGGGAAUCUUCCGCAAUGGACGCAAGUCUGACGGAGCAACGCCGCGUGAGUGAAGAAGGAUUUCGGUUCGUAAAACUCUGUUGUUAGAGAAGAACAGCGCAUAGAGUAACUGUUAUGCGUGUGACGGUAUCUAACCAGAAAGCCACGGCUAACUACGUGCCAGCAGCCGCGGUAAUACGUAGGUCCCGAGCGUUGUCCGGAUUUAUUGGGCGUAAAGCGAGCGCAGGCGGUUAGAAAAGUCUGAAGUGAAAGGUAGUGGCUCAACCAUUGUAGGCUUUGGAAACUGGUUAACUUGAGUGCAGAAGGGGAGAGUGGAAAUCCAUGUGGAGCGGUGAAAUGCGUAGAUAUAUGGGGGAACACCGGUGGCGAAAGCGGCUCUCUGGUCUGUAACUGGCGCUGGGGCUGGAAAGCGGGGGGAGCGAACAGG
rnacentral:rRNA from 1 species